AAUCCAUAGGUUAAUGAGGCGAACCGGGGGAACUGAAACAUCUAAGUACCCCGAGGAAAAGAAAUCAACCGAGAUUCCCCCAGUAGCGGCGAGCGAACGGGGAGGAGCCCAGAGCCUGAAUCAGCAUGUGUGUUAGUGGAAGCGUCUGGAAAGGCGCGCGAUACAGGGUGACAGCCCCGUACACAAAAGCGCAUGUGCUGUGAGCUCGAUGAGUAGGGCGGGACACGUGGUAUCCUGUCUGAAUAUGGGGGGACCAUCCUCCAAGGCUAAAUACUCCUGACUGACCGAUAGUGAACCAGUACCGUGAGGGAAAGGCGAAAAGAACCCCGGCGAGGGGAGUGAAAAAGAACCUGAAACCGUGUACGUACAAGCAGUGGGAGCACAGGUUUACCUGUGUGACUGCGUACCUUUUGUAUAAUGGGUCAGCGACUUAUAUUCUGUAGCAAGGUUAACCGAAUAGGGGAGCCGGAGGGAAACCGAGUCUUAACCGGGCGUUAAGUUGCAGGGUAUAGACCCGAAACCCGGUGAUCUAGCCAUGGGCAGGUUGAAGGUUGGGUAACACUAACUGGAGGACCGAACCGACUAAUGUUGAAAAAUUAGCGGAUGACCUGUGGCUGGGGGUGAAAGGCCAAUCAAACCGGGAGAUAGCUGGUUCUCCCCGAAAGCUAUUUAGGUAGCGCCUCGUGAAUUCAUCUCCGGGGGUAGAGCACUGUUUCGGCUAGGGGGCCAUCCCGGCUUACCAACCCGAUGCAAACUGCGAAUACCGGAGAAUGUUAUCACGGGAGACACACGGCGGGUGCUAACGUCCGUCGUGAAGAGGGAAACAACCCAGACCGCCAGCUAAGGUCCCAAAGUCAUGGUUAAGUGGGAAACGAUGUGGGAAGGCCCAGACAGCCAGGAUGUUGGCUUAGAAGCAGCCAUCAUUUAAAGAAAGCGUAAUAGCUCACUGGUCGAGUCGGCCUGCGCGGAAGAUGUAACGGGGCUAAACCAUGCACCGAAGCUGCGGCAGCGAACGUAUCACUUAAAGCGAUUCAGCGGGUUACGAUUGACGGAGCGAAGCGACGUCAAAGCGUAUACAAAGUCGAGUCGGUUUAAGGAUACGUUCGUUGGGUAGGGGAGCGUUCUGUAAGCCUGUGAAGGUGGCCUGUGAGGGUUGCUGGAGGUAUCAGAAGUGCGAAUGCUGACAUAAGUAACGAUAAAGCGGGUGAAAAGCCCGCUCGCCGGAAGACCAAGGGUUCCUGUCCAACGUUAAUCGGGGCAGGGUGAGUCGACCCCUAAGGCGAGGCCGAAAGGCGUAGUCGAUGGGAAACGGGUUAAUAUUCCCGUACUUGGUGUUACUGCGAAGGGGGGACGGAGAAGGCUAUGUUGGCCGGGCGACGGUUGUCCCGGUUUAAGCGUGUAGGUGUGUGUUCCAGGUAAAUCCGGUUCACUUUAACACUGAGGCGUGAUGACGAGGCACUACGGUGCUGAAGCAACAAAUGCCCUGCUUCCAGGAAAAGCCUCUAAGCAUCAGGUAACAUCAAAUCGUACCCCAAACCGACACAGGUGGUCAGGUAGAGAAUACCAAGGCGCUUGAGAGAACUCGGGUGAAGGAACUAGGCAAAAUGGUGCCGUAACUUCGGGAGAAGGCACGCUGACACGUAGGUGAAGUGAUUUACUCAUGGAGCUGAAGUCAGUCGAAGAUACCAGCUGGCUGCAACUGUUUAUUAAAAACACAGCACUGUGCAAACACGAAAGUGGACGUAUACGGUGUGACGCCUGCCCGGUGCCGGAAGGUUAAUUGAUGGGGUCAGCGCAAGCGAAGCUCCUGAUCGAAGCCCCGGUAAACGGCGGCCGUAACUAUAACGGUCCUAAGGUAGCGAAAUUCCUUGUCGGGUAAGUUCCGACCUGCACGAAUGGCGUAAUGAUGGCCAGGCUGUCUCCACCCGAGACUCAGUGAAAUUGAACUCGCUGUGAAGAUGCAGUGUACCCGCGGCAAGACGGAAAGACCCCGUGAACCUUUACUAUAGCUUGACACUGAACAUUGAGCCUUGAUGUGUAGGAUAGGUGG
rnacentral:rRNA from 1 species